rnacentral:rRNA from 1 species
GGAGCUUGAUCCCUGAAGUCAUCGAGCGGACGGUUGAGUAACACGUGGGUAACCUGCCUGUAAUACUGGAAUAACUCCGGGAAACCGGAGCUAAUACCGGAUGGUUGAUUGAACCACAUGGUUCAAUCAUAAAAUGUGGCUUCCGCAUCCACCUUCCGAACGAUCCCUAGUUCAUUAGCUAAUUUGCUAAGUAAGCGACCAUCCAUGGCAAAAAUCAUAGGCUAACCGAAAAGGUUAACAGUCACACUCGGACCUAAACCCUACCCAAAACCCCACCGGAGAAUUUUCCACAGGAAACUUACCUCUGAAGAAAAUCCGAACGAGACAACACCACCGUAUGAUAUAAGGUUUUUCGAAUCUAAGAUCUGUUGGUUAGGAAUAAAAGUACCCGUCCAAUUGGGCGGAACCCUUACCGAACCCAACCCUAAAACAUGGCUAAAUACGUGGCAACAACCCCGGUAAUACCGAUGUCGCGAACUAUGGCCCGAAAUAAUGGGCCUAAAGGGCUCGUAAGGCGGUUCUUAAAUCCGAAGGCAAAACCCCCGGGUUCAACCGGGAAGGGUAUGGAAAAUGGGGAAAUUGAAUGGGAAAAAGAAAGUGGAAUUCCACAUUGAACCGAUAAAUGGGUAAAAAAGUGGAAGAAACCCAUUGCCAAAGCCAACUUUGUCUAGAAUUAAGCCUAAGGAGCAAACCUGGGGAACAACCGGAUACCACCCCGGUACCCCACCCUAAACAAUAAGGGCUCUCGUCCGGGGUUCCCCCCCUUAUGGUGAACCAACGCCUUAGGACUCCGCCGGGGAAUAGGUCCCAAGAUUUACUCCAGGAAUUAAAGGGGCCCCAAAGCGUUGAACCAGAGAUUAUUCAAACUACCCGACAACUUAACAGGUGUUGACUCC